AAGCCCAGCACCGAACCUCGCGCCCCCGGGUGUCGCGGAAUGUGGUGUUUAGGAGGACCGUGCGCGUCUGUCCGGUAUCGUCCAAGUCUCCAUGAAUGGGGCCAGUAACCCAGAGAGGGUGUCAGGCCCGUAGGACUGAGCCGCGACGGCGUAUUGGGUCUCUCCUUAGAGUCGGGUUGCUUGAGAGUGCAGCCCUAAGUGGGAGGUAAACUCCUUCUAAGGCUAAAUACGGCCACGAGACCGAUAGCGAACAAGUACCGCGAGGGAAAGUUGAAAAGAACUUUGAAGAGAGAGUUCAAUAGUGCGUGAAACCGUUCAGGGGGUUAAACGGGUGGGCCCUCGAAGGUCGAACGCUCCCUACUCGCGUCUCCGCGCGUCGGUCCGUGCCGCUUUUUCCGAUCUCGCUACGGGACGGAGCGGUGCGGUAACUUGGCGAGCGGGGGCGUUUAGUUAGGGGGCCAGUAGGACUCCGCAACCGUCUGGAGAGUCGUCAGAAGGGCUCUGGUAGAAAGCCUCCUCGCGGGGUGGAAUCCGGGGUUCCGGGCGAUCUCUCCGGCCGUGAACCGGCAUUCCACUCGUCUGGCGUCCGUGACGAGCCUCCCUUCACGGGGGGGUUGUCGGUUGCGGGCGUCACCGGGGGACGCUAGCGGAGAGUAGAGUCGGGUCCCACCCGACCCGUCUUGAAACACGGACCAAGGAGUCUAACAUGUGCGCGAGUCGUCGGGAU
rnacentral:rRNA from 1 species